GAUGAAGAAGGCAGCGAAAUGCGAUACGUUAUGUGAAUUGCAGAAUUCAGUGAAUCAUCGAAUCUUUGAACGCACAUUGCGCCCGCCAGCACUCUGGCGGGCAUGCCUGUUCGAUCGUCAUUUCAACCAUCAAGCCCCAGGCUUGCGUUGGAGCCCUGCGGCUGCCGCAGCCUCCUAAAAGCAGUGGCGGGCUCGCUAUCACACCGAGUGCAGUAGAUUACUCUUCGCUCAGGGCGUGCAGCGGGUUCCGGCCGUGAAACCCCCUACUUUUAAAGGUUGACCUCGGAUCAGGUAGGAAUACCCGCUGAACUUAAGCAUAUCAAUAAGCGGAGGA
rnacentral:misc_RNA from 1 species